rnacentral:lncRNA from 1 species
GGAUUUUUCCCACUAGGUGGUAAUGGGCGAUGGAUCAAACUCCUUUUCUAAACAGUUGAAUUUUCAGUGUAAAAGUCUGUGGAAACACCCCUCCCUCUCCUCUGUGUCCAUCUCCUCAGAAGUUCUGUCUGUCUGCAUCUGUUUCAGCACAUACUUUGGACUCCUUUACAGACGACCAUUCCUCCUUCCUCAAUAGGUGUCUUCAGUGUUCUCUAAAUACUUAAAACUGAUUUUGACAAUAGUUAACUGAUUUUAUAAGCAAUGAAUACUUCAGAUAAAUCCACAACUGUAGUUGCUGCAGAGUAGAGAAGGUUGACCAUCACUAGUUUAAUUCUCCAAUGUAAAAGCUGUCUAGAGUAAUGUGUGCACAUGCCCACACAUGCCUGUGCU